GGGAAUUUAGCUCAGUGGUAGAGCACUUGCCUAGGAAGCACAAGGCCCUGGGUUCGAUCCCCAGCUCA
rnacentral:tRNA from 1 species